UUUUAUUCAUUUAUUUUUAGGUAAGGAAAAUGGGGGGAAAAAAUUAAAAACGUGGUGCUAAAUCCAAGUUGCUAAUCCAGUCUUCUGCAUAGGAAGGUCAGUUCACAGAAGAACUGGUGUGUUUCUGUUGACAUGAAUAUCCCAAGGAGCUGGUCAGCUCUGCAUCAGUUGGCCACUACAGCAAUAUUUGGCUUACCUCAGGGAAACGGAUAUUCUCCCAGAGAUCUCAUCGCAGUUUUUGAAGAUUCAUGGGGUGUGAAAAUACUUUGUGUUCCAUCAGCAGAUAAUAUAGGAAAAGAUGGACAGACGGUGGCCCAUGAAGUCACUCCCUCAGCUCUAGGAUUUAUACAAAAGUGUGUCUCCUCCCACGGUUUGUUUCUGAUAUUGGUUUGUGUAGAUCAUCUGCACAGACUUUGAUUUCUUUAUUCCUUAUAUGUGUGUUGCAGAAGUCUGUGUAUGUUUUAAAAAAUAAUUUUUCUGUUUGGGUGAGACUCCAUGAAGUGGGUGCCACUGAAGCAUAUUUGUGUAUCUCAGUGUAGUCCCAUCUCCUCUGAUACUGUUUCUUCUGUGCUGUAUUACUGCUGUUACUUCGAAACAAAACACAGUUGUUAAAAAAAAAAGUGCAAAGAAAACUAUCAAAAAGGGACAGUGACUGCCUCAGAAUUGGCACAUUGAUUGAAGUAAACACCAGAAGCAUUGCCACUCGUGUUUCAAGAAGUGUAACAUAAAUAAUACACCCACUAAUUGAAAUGCAUACAAUAUGGCUGUUCUUGAUUCAAGUGAGAAGCGUGAAAUGCAUUUAUUUUUAUGAAGAGUAAAACAGACUUUGCCAACCAUACACAACAGGGUGGGCAUCCCGCUAGCUCAAAUUCUGCAAGCCCACAGCCGGACCUAUUAGCAAAAAUGAAGUGACUUAAUACCCCGGGGUGUGAUUUACCUGUUUAAGAACUAUAUUGUUGCACUAAAGAAAAAGUAAACCAAACCCAGGGGCUUCUUUCUCUGAUUUCUGUGGCCGUCGGACAGUAGGUUAUAUGUAGCUUUUCAUUUCGUUAUUUGUGUUUCUUUCUCCUUUAAUUGGGCUGUGAUACGUGAGGGUUUUCGGGUGUAGGCAACGUAUUAUUUUCUAUGUCAGGAAUGUAUCAAGUUGCUACCUGUGUGCCGAACCAUGCCUGAAAAAAAAAAGUAAUGGAUUAUAAGGAAAUGUGAAGAAAAAUAAAAAGAGAAAUGGAAAGAAAUGAAAUAAAUUGAAACAGAGUAAUAAAAUAAUAGAUAACAAAGAUAAAUAAAGUAAAACAAGACAAAAUCCGGCAGCGUCAAGUCGCUGCUGCAACGUCCUCGGGGCCUCAUGGAAGGCUACGUGCUUCGUGCAUGAGACCCCGGGCGACCUCGGCACGAGUGGGAGCUCCGUACCGGCGGGGUUGGGGCCGGAGGGCGGCCCCGCGGCUCAGAGAGGGCGAAGAAGGGGAAGCACAGGCCGGCAGGGGCUGCACGGUGCGUCCCUCGGUGCGGGGCUGCCCCCGGCCGCCGCUGACAGCGUCCCGGGGCUUCCACCCUGCUGCGGGUACCUGCGCUGCUUCCACGCGACUCCUGCGUUCACUCUUCUAUGGGGGGAAUUCCGGGUCGGAAACGAGUGGAACGGGAGUUUCCUACCGCCGGGAGGGAUGGGUGGGCAGGAGGCAGAGCCGGGGAAAUGGAAAGGCGGCCGGCCAGCGAAGAACAGGGAAGGCGUUCUGAUGCAGCCCCGCAGCUCCUUCCCGAGGUUGAGACCUGCCCCGCACGGACGCUGCCGAGAGGUUCCCGUCCACUGGAAAUAAUCAAACAAGACCCUACAAGUUGAACCGAAGAGCUGCCUCUUCCAGAGGAAAUUGAGCUCUUACGCAGGAGCGGAUUGAAGUAGCUCUUCCCCAUCCGCCCCUUGAAGUCAGACCGAACCCUCUCGCCUAUUCCAUCUCCUCUCCCACGCGUGGGGCCGGGGCUCCCACUUCGUGCGGAGUCUCCGCGCGAUGCCGGCCCUGGUCCCAUCCCACGGGCACGGAAGAAAAGAUAUAGCAGAUGAUAAAUGUCUCUGGAAACGUAAAAGCACAAGGAGAGAAACCCAGGCACUGUCGGCGGUCUUGGCAUAAGCUCGAAGAGCCCGGCAGGGCAGGGAUAGAAUGGGGGCGCGUUAGAUCCUUCUGUGAAGACUGAGGUUCCCUGCAUCCAUACUUUAAAGAGCUUUGUCCAGUGUCCAUUUAUUUUAUCUCUGUAGCCCCUUUUCGCCCUCCAGCCCGUGCGGAUUCUCCUUCUUCCAUGAGAGAAGCUGGGAAGAAGGCAGUGGUGCUUCCUGGGUGCCCGGCAUCCAGAGAAGGCUCCCCGAGGCUCUCAAACAGCCUUCUGGCCUGGAGGCUUUCGCCAGGAAAGAAAUAAAAUGGUUCCAGUGACUCACCUGGAGUUUGUCAGGCGGAGGCUGACCUUGGUGGAUCCGCAUUCAAGUCUCUGUCCGCAUUUAUUGGGUGUCUAGCGUGUUACAGCUCAGCGCGGUGACUCACACGGUUUCUAAAAGUAAGACACCAAGAAAGAGGUAUCAUCACCAUCACCGUCCCUGUCACAGCCCCGGGUGGAGGGCUCCGCGGGGCUGAGGGCUCGGGGAUCCGGAUCGAGCCCCUGUGCCUCGACGGGAGGAACAGGGGGGGCGUGCGAGGAGUUCCCGGCCAUUCGGUUAGAGGAGCAUCUACUGGACUUCAGUAAACAUGACCCCUAAUCUCGGGG
ensembl:lncRNA